rnacentral:misc_RNA from 1 species
GCACUUCCUUUAGAGGCUGUUCUCUCCAUGAUCUCUCCGGCUUGGGCAGCUGCAUUUGCUUCACCACCAGCUGCUAUGGCAUUGGCAAUGAUUGCUGCUGGUGCUGCAGGUGGGGAAACCUCAUCUCCAGCAACUAACNNNNACUUAAGCGUGACUCUUCCUUGCUUGAGCGGAAAUCAUCUAGACUACAUACCUUUUCAAGCUUCCAAAAACCUUUAGAGAUGACCAACAAAACACCAAAUAUUCCAAAGGAUAAGGCUGCUGCAAAAGCUGCAGCAUUGGCAGCAGCACGUGAUCUGGAACGUAAUGCUAAGAUUGGUUCUGGAAGGGGCCUUAGUGCAGUUGCAAUGGCCACAUCUGCCCAGCGAAGAAAUGCAAGUGACAUGGAGCGUGUGAAGAGAUGGAAUACUACUGAAGCCAUGGGAGUUGCCUGGAUGGAAUGUAUGCAGCCAUUUGACACAAGAUCAGUCUAUG